AUUGAACGCUGGCGGCAUGCCUUACACAUGCAAGUCGAACGGCAGCACGGGAGCAAUCCUGGUGGCGAGUGGCGAACGGGUGAGUAAUAUAUCGGAACGUGCCCAGUCGUGGGGAUAACGUAGCGAAAGCUACGCUAAUACCGCAUACGAUCUAUGGAUGAAAGCGGGGGAUCGCAAGACCUCGCGCGAUUGGAGCGGCCGAUAUCAGAUUAGGUAGUUGGUGAGGUAAAGGCUCACCAAGCCGACGAUCUGUAGCUGGUCUGAGAGGACGACCAGCCACACUGGGACUGAGACACGGCCCAGACUCCUACGGAGGCAGCAGUGGGGAAUUUUGGACAAUGGGCGCAAGCCUGAUCCAGCAAUGCCGCGUGCAGGAUGAAGGCCUUCGGUU
rnacentral:rRNA from 1 species